rnacentral:rRNA from 1 species
UAAUACGAAGGGGGCUAGCGUUGCUCGGAAUCACUGGGCGUAAAGGGUGCGUAGGCGGGUCUUUAAGUCAGGGGUGAAAUCCUGGAGCUCAACUCCAGAACUGCCUUUGAUACUGAGGAUCUUGAGUUCGGGAGAGGUGAGUGGAACUGCGAGUGUAGAGGUGAAAUUCGUAGAUAUUCGCAAGAACACCAGUGGCGAAGGCGGCUCACUGGCCCGAUACUGACGCUGAGGCACGAAAGCGUGGGGAGCAAACAGG